rnacentral:sRNA from 1 species
AGAGGAUUUCUCCUCUCUCUCUCUCUUAAUUGCAAAUUCUGCCAUUUUCAAUGGAGAAUGGCUGAUUUGAUCUUGUUCAUAAUGAUUUUAUGCAUUUUCUUUGACAGGAUGGACGGGCGGCAUCAUCAAUUCUGGUUGGUGCUAUGUUCAUUUUCUGUAAUCUCUACUCUACUCCUGGCCCAGCCAUUCGAUUGCUAUAUGCAAAGCGACCAGGAAUUGGACUUUCACCAUCCCAUAGGAGAUACCUGGGCUAUAUGUGUGACCUACUGGCAGACAAGCCCUACCGCCCUCACUUCAAGCCUCUCACAAUUAAGUCGAUCACUGUCAGUCCAAUACCCUUUUUCAACAAACAGAGGAAUGGAUGUCGCCCUUACUGUGAUGUACUCAUUGGAGAAACCAAAAUAUAUUCGACUUGCACAGAUUUUGAACGAAUGAAAGAAUAUCGUGUCCAAGAUGGAAAAAUCUUCAUUCCCUUGAACAUCACUGUGCAAGGAGACGUGGUCGUUUCCAUGUAUCACUUGAGGUCAACCAUUGGGAGCCGGCUACAGGCUAAGGUGACCAACACACAGAUAUUCCAGCUUCAGUUUCACACUGGAUUCAUACCACUGGACACAACAGUUUU